UGGGUGCCUGAAACAGAUCUGCCUAAACAAAUAUGAGUGUCUAAUCACUACAGAGCUCUUGAGUGCACUUUAGUACUUUGUUCAGGCCCUGAGAGCACUGCUGCACACGUUAGAGGCUCGUUUCAGCGUGACCCAGUUCCAGGAGCACAACACGCGUUACUCACGCAGCAUGGGAAAACAGCUUCCUUCUGUGAUGAGAUGCAUGCAGUGAAUGCCCUACUUGCCGUACAUGAGCCCAGUGGAAGUUUGUAGGACUUACUGGGACAGUGUGUGUUGUCCAGUGGUCUCUCAGCCCUAGACAACUGUACCCUUGUCCUCCGUAUCUGACAAUGGAGAGGAAGGGGACCGCCUCCCAUGAGACAGCAUGUGUAACCUGGUACCCAAUGUAGAGUAUGUGAUGUUCCCAUGGGGACAUUUUAACAAUCGAUCUUUUUAUAAUUGUGGCCCAGGGAGAGAGUCAUGGUGCACCCGAAAGGUAGAACCUGUUUUACAGUGGAGUGAGGCCAAUCUCCCAGGAGAACAAAAUCUAACCAGAGAAAAAGUUCUGGUCCGCUUUGAACUGUGUAGCAAGUUCUUCUCUUCUCUCCUCUCUCCAAUACUAAUAUCCAGUCUGCUUAUUGGCCUUGAAAAUAAAAAAAAAACUCAUCUGCAAAGUAUAUUUCAACCAGACUUUAUGGCUCCACACAGGAUCCUCUGUCUCUCUAUUUCUCAGGUCACACAGACCCUUUCCUGCCCAGACUCCUUCUCCUUCUGUUCUGGCCACCUGCACGAAACGCACAGAAGCCCAGGGAGAACAUACACACUCCACACAGACUUGCACUGGAAUCGUAACCCUGUGGUGCAAGACAGCCAAGCUGACCACUGUGCCACCAUGCUGCCCAGUCUAAAGCCCUGCCAGUGAAUUUGCCUAUAGCCUACAUUCUUCAGUAGUCAGCGGAGAUGUUUCUGGCCAAAAAUUAAAAGUGAGAAAAUCAGCUGAAUAACCCCCCCACCCCAAUCCCAAACUGAAAAAUGUAUUUUUUUCUUCGUAGGUGCAACUACCUCCGUAGCAGACUCUCAGAAGGGGCGAUUUUAGAACAUGUCCGUUCCUAUGUUGGAUUCCAUGGAAUAACAGCCAAGCAUUACUUUGUCGACAAAGUGAGUGAAGAAACUGAGAUAGCAGAGCAGAGUCAGAAAGCCUCGUCAGAAGAGAUCCUUCGGAACAUAUUUGAGAAUGAGUGCUCUCGAAUGGAGUCCUACUUCCAAUGGCCAAGCGACUCAGCUGCAGUCCCAUCCAAACUGGCGAAAGCUGGCUUCUUCUACACAGGUGAAGGAUGGUAACUUAAACAUCUAAAAAUGACAACACUGUCAUCUUGCAUCUGUGCUCACCCAAUGUCAGGCUUUUUAUACAUAUCAGUUUAGUAGCAAUUUUAUUUUAGAAAACACCUGGUUUUAAAACCCUGUCAAUGCUGAGGGACAAUCUUUUUCCAGCAAUUUUAUUUUUAACAGAAACACUGAUGUGCUCAUCCCAUAUAUAAUCGCAACUGAUUUUUCUAAAGUCUGCUGUACUUGUUGUGUUUUUAUCAGUGUUUUUGUUGUGGAAUUAGUGGACAAAUUUAAUUUUGGUGUGGCUGGUAAUUUUAAAUCAGUCGUUCAGUCUUUUGUUUUCUCUAGAGCCCUUUGUAAAAGAAUGCCACAGCGUGCCUUACAGAUUGCUAUAGCAGGUAAACGGCACCUGACCAUGUGGCCAGGAAAGAGAAGAAAACAACCCCCCCCCCCGUGGGUGACAAGAAACCUCUGGAGGUCCCAGGCCCCAGUGGCGACGCCCCCCACCCCUCUUUCCCCUAAUGAGUUUUUUUUUAUACAUUGAUUAUCUUAAAUCUGGAAAAGGUGUGAGGUCCAGGCUGGUUACCUGGGUCUGCUAACUUGAGUGCAACACGCUCAAUGUCAUGUUCUUGCGCUGGGAUCCAGGCAGUGGGAACAUUAAAUGGUGAGAGAGCGCAUUGCAAUAAUGGGCUGGUUUGUGAAUUGUAAUAAAGGACACUUUUUAAUGUUUUCACAAGUACUGCACAUGUGAGUGAUCUCCCAUAUCCUCUAAAUCCAACCAUUAAGUUUGUUUUUAUAGCAGUGAAACGAUUAAAAAAAACUUCUGAUAGCACAGGGGUAUCUCUUAGAUUGUUUCAGAAAGUUCUACAAUUUAGUGGUCCUGUAGCUAAAGACACUGCCCCCAGCAGUUAUUUUGUAAUUUCUUGGGUCCACUGUGCUCUGCUUGGUCUGUAAUGUUUUAGCAGGUCACUUAAAUAAAGGGGCGUUAGACCCUUUAGUGUUUUGUGGAGCAGAAGAAAUGCUUUAAAGUCUGUAUUGUUUUUUUUUAAUUCAAGUUGAGAGACACGUUUCAACAUUUUGAACAGGGUGAAGUCUGGAUAUACUGUAGUGCAGUCUCCUGUACCAGACAGCAGCAGGUUACAACAGUCUGGUCUUUGUAGAAAACAGUCAGUCUUGUAAAGAUCUUUCUGAUGUGUAGAUGUAACUUGAAAAUGUAUCUAGGUGACGAGGAAACUGUUCAGUGUUUUCAGUGUGGUGGGAGGAUUUCACAUUGGCCUGAAGGAGCUGAUCCAGUACAGGAGCAUCAGAAGAUCUUCUCACAAUGCCAAUAUGUUAUUAACAUCGGUCAAAAUCCUCAACAAAGUGACACUGCCGUUAGCCUCAAAAAGAGUCUCGGCUGGAAUUAAAUAUGUUGGAGAAGAAAGCCAGGAAUCUGCAAUUCCUCCUCAAGAAGGCCUACGCAACCAAGGAGUUCAGCAGAAUUACUACUCCGUCAAAUGGACAAAUUUGCAAAACUGGAAGAACUGAAAUUAGUUCUGGUUUCAGCUCCAGGAAGUUUGUGUGCUCUACCAGCUGGAUUCAGCAAAGUGGUUACCCUAAGGAAGCUGCACUUGAAUAAUAACAUGCAAGAGGAAGACACUAUUCUGGCGUGGCUUCUUGCGCAUUUCCCACUCUUGUCCAGCUUUGUAUUGGAAAGUGACUCCUGUCCUGGGUUGGAAGGCAUCAUCGGCGCCUUGCCUUGCGCUAGCCUGCAGGAGCUCAAACUGGGCUGCAUAGUGUUUACCGAUUCUCAGCUGAGCUCUUUUGUUGCACAGCUGGGGAGAUUCACCAAUCUGAAAGUGCUGAAGCUGUGUAAUGAAGUGUUUGACUCUGUGGAAGUAAUGCCAGCUUUCGGUAGGUGGAAACUGACUUGGCGAAAGGCCAGGCACUUCUCGCUGAGUUACUGAAGCUUUCAUGUGAACCACUCGUCUUAUUGACAAUGAGACUGUAACAUAUUUAUGAUUUGAUCUUAAUUUCUAUGACUUUUUUAAUAUAGGCUAAUUGAUUGGUUGAUAUGCAGUUCAGCUCCAAUUUCUUCGAGAUGCUGGGCAUGAUUGUGUUGACCUAAAAUCAGUUUGCUUGCUAUGCAUGGGUGGCACGUUGGCUCCCUGGGGUGUAUUGCUGGGACAUUGGCAUUGCCUGUCAUUGCAUUAGCAGUUCUGGAGCCCUGGGUUUAAUUCUGGACCUGGGUUCUGUCUGUGGGGAGUUUGCAUGUUCUCUUCGGUUUAGUGUG